UACAGAGGGUGCGAGCGUUAAUCGGAAUUACUGGGCGUAAAGCGCGCGCAGGCGGUUCUCCAAGUCAGUGGUGAAAGCCCGGAGCUCAACUCCGGAAUUGCCAUUGAAACUGUUGAACUUGAGGACGAGAGAGGUGAGUGGAAUUCCCAGUGUAGAGGUGAAAUUCGUAGAUAUUGGGAAGAACACCGGUGGCGAAGGCGGCUCACUGGCUCGUUUCUGACGCUCAGGCGCGACAGCGUGGGGAUCAAACAGG
rnacentral:rRNA from 1 species